UAUCAGGGUAACACUGGCAUGAUGGGCAU
rnacentral:piRNA from 1 species